AUUGAACGCUGGCGGCAUGCCUUACACAUGCAAGUCGAACGGCAGCACGGGUGCUUGCACCUGGUGGCGAGUGGCGAACGGGUGAGUAAUACAUCGGAACAUGUCCUGUAGUGGGGGAUAGCCCGGCGAAAGCCGGAUUAAUACCGCAUACGAUCUACGGCUGAAAGCGGGGGACCUUCGGGCCUCGCGCUAUAGGGUUGGCCGAUGGCUGAUUAGCUAGUUGGUGGGGUAAAGGCCUACCAAGGCGACGAUCAGUAGCUGGUCUGAGAGGACGACCAGCCACACUGGGACUGAGACACGGCCCAGACUCCUACGGGAGGCAGCAGUGGGGAAUUUUGGACAAUGGGCGAAAGCCUGAUCCAGCAAUGCCGCGUGUGUGAAGAAGGCCUUCGGGUUGUAAAGCACUUUUGUCCGGAAAGAAAUCCUUGGCCCUAAUACGGUCGGGGGGAUGACGGUACCGGAAGAAUAAGCACCGGCUAACUACGUG
rnacentral:rRNA from 1 species